rnacentral:rRNA from 1 species
AAUAUUGGACAAUGGGGGGAACCCUGAUCCAGCCAUGCCGCGUGUGUGAAGAAGGUCUUCGGAUUGUAAAGCCCUUUAAGUUGGGAGGACGGGCAGUACGCUAAUACCUUGCUGUUUUGACGUUACCGACAGAAUAAGCACCGGCUAACUUCGUCCCAGCAGCCGCGGUAAUACGAAGGGUGCAAGCGUUAAUCGGAAUUACUGGGCGUAAAGCGCGCGUAGGUGGUUCGUUAAGUUGGAAGUGAAAGCCCCGGGCUUAACCUGGGAAUUGCUUUCAAAACUGACGAGCUAGAGUACGGUAGAGGGUAGUGGAAUUUCCUGUGUAGCGGUAAAAUGCGUAGAUAUAGGAAGGAACACCAGUGGCGAAGGCGACUACCUGGACUGAUACUGACACUGAGGUGCGAAAGCGUGGGGAGCAAACAGG